rnacentral:lncRNA from 1 species
GAAACAAGAACUCCAUGACGAACACGGCCAUGUACACAUAUGUGUGAUUCGAAAACGAAGGCGCAUCUCGGGAGUUCGUAUUCGGUGGCGUCACAUUCGUUGGAUUUUUCGUCGAAUCAACAGAAAGGAAACCAUGGCUCCAUGAAAACAAUGAGAGAAACACAUAUGCAUAAAAAGAACUCACCGGAGUAGGAUCGUGAUGUAGUGGCUUAAUAGAAAGGACGUCGAUAGUUGGAGUUCAUAGCUUCCCUCUUCUUCCUCGCGUAAGUUCUAUCUUCUUAUUCGUUCUUCUAUCCCUGAGUUUUUGCUUCAGUACAUGGCUGUUAUGUGCAGAAUCUCCAAAGAUAAGUGAUGUUGUGCAGAGUGUGAAAAUGAUGAUGAUGGAGAUGCAUAGGAUUUUAGGGAUUGGAGAGAGAUGACUGAAUUUGAAGAUUGAAGGAUUCAAGCUCGUGAAUCUCAUAUGUAGAUUGAUCCAAGCUCGUGAAUCUCAAAUGCAGAUUGAUCCAAGCUCGUGAAUCUCAUAUGUAGAUUGAAGGAUCCCAUUGCAGAGUGAAGGAUUCCGUUGCAAAGUGAAGGAUUUUGUUGGAGAGUAGGAUUUUAGUUGAAGAAUGAAGGUGAGUCCCUCUUAUACUUCUCUGAUCUUUCUUAUUAUGUUACUUUCUUCACCUCUUCUGUUAUAGUUGUUAGGCUGGUUCAGUUAGGCUGUUAGAAGUGGUUCAGAAGUUAGUUAGAGCUAACAGAGAUUAACUCUGUUAGUAUGAAUCAGAGCCAAAACAAUUUUAGUUACUCUGUUGGCUUAGGGAGUUGUGAAAGUUUGUUAGCUGGAAUUGGGAGAAAAAGUUGAUUAAAACGGAAACUCCAUGGCCAUGGUUAAAAGUAUAAACAAAGCUUGUUUGCACAUGAAGUAACUUUGGAUGGAACAUGAAAAAAAAUGGAGAAUAAAGCAUGAAGAGUGAGGAUUAUAAGGUUUAGGGUUUUAGGGAAAGUGUGUUGACUUUGGUCAAAGUUGACCAAAAAGUCAACUAUUGACCAAAGUCAACCUUUGGUCAAAUUUAUGUUUUUUUGUAACUUUUGUAUGGGUGAUGUAAACGAUAUUGUAUGGAUUUAACGGGCCUUUGUGAAUGAAACUAGUUCUUUGGAUUUAAUGAAAUAAAUUUCUCAUUUUCAAGUUGUGAUUUUCUUCUCCAAAAAAAUACUUAAGACAUAGCUUUGAGUCAUGCAUUAUGGACAUGAAUGAAUGGACUAGGAAUGCACCAUACAUAAAGAAUCAAUGGAUUAGAAAUGUGUUAUGAAACAUGAGCCAAUGAAUGCAUUGUGAUAAAAGAAUUAAUAAAAUCCAUGAACUUGCACCAUGAAACAAUAUGAAACAUGGAGGCAUGGAUUAGGAAUGCAUCAUGAAUAACAUGAAUGGAAUAAAGCCUAUGACCAAAUGGAUCAUCAAACAAAAAGCCAUGUGACAAUCCAUAAUUAAGGUAUGAUUAAUAGAAAUAACAUGAAUCAAACCACAUGGACCAAAUAGUCCCCUUUCCAAAACUAGGGUUUCAUGGCACAUCAUAUGAUCUAGGUCUCUUAACCAAACACGAGGCUUCACAGACAAACUCAUAACCCAUGGGCCCAUGAUUAGGGCUUAGAUAAUCUAACCAACACUCACGAGCCAAUCACAAGAUCCUAAAGUGACAUAAUCAAGACUUGGAGUUUCACAUUCCCUAUGAACAAAUGAGUAUCCAAGCCAUACCUUUGAGGUUUGAUCCAUAUAGAAACCUUAGCUUUGCAAGCCAAAAGAUUUGAAUCUAUAGUGAUCAACUAAUGGAUGAAUGAUUGGUACAUAUGAAUGAAACAUGUAUCCAAAUAUUCUCAAGCC